rnacentral:ncRNA from 1 species
CGGAAGAGGAUAGCCCUAGACGCCCGUGUCUUUGCGCGGGGGCCGAAGAAGCAACGCUGGAGAGAGCCGCUCUUUCUCCGGCAGAAACUGACAGGCAAAAGGAAGGUUAUCGGACGAGACUCUGGAGAGAACGCAUAAAGCGUCGCCUACGCGGCUAUAACCAACUGGCAAAAGGACAGAGA